rnacentral:rRNA from 1 species
AUACGUAGGUGGCAAGCGUUGUUCGGAAUUACUGGGCGUAAAGCGCGCGUAGGCGGAUUGGUCAGUUGGGGGUGAAAUCCCGAGGCUUAACCUCGGAACUGCCUUCAAAACUGCCAGUCUUGAGUCCGGGAGAGGUGAGUGGAAUUCCUAGUGUAGAGGUGAAAUUCGUAGAUAUUAGGAAGAACACCAGUGGCGAAGGCGGCUCACUGGCCCGGUACUGACGCUGAGGCGCGAAAGCGUGGGGAGCAAACAGGAUUAGAAACCCCGGUAGUCC